rnacentral:rRNA from 1 species
UGCGUAGGCGGGUUUCUAAGUCAGAGGUGAGAGCCUGGAGCUCAACUCCAGAACUGCCUUUGAUACUGGAAGUCUUGAGUAUGGCAGAGGUGAGUGGAACUGCGAGUGUAGAGGUGAAAUUCGUAGAUAUUCGCAAGAACACCAGUGGCGAAGGCGGCUCACUGGGCCAUUACUGACGCUGAGGCACGAAAGCGUGGGGAGCAAACA